CUCAGGUUUCAAAUACUUAAAGGUUGAGAAACGCUGUGUCGCAGUGAUAACAAACCCACUGUAGUAGAUCAGGUUGAAUUUGCUCUGCUGCACCAAACAUUCAAAGGUGUCAAUCUGGAGCACAUCAGAGAGGCUGAGAGACACAGUGCAGAUCAGUCACCAGCACACAGACACACACGGGACACUCCAUGGUGAGCAGUGCAUGUACCAAGUGAGCAUUACACGUAUCAAGGUUGGCAUUAAAGAUCCUCUUGAGUUCUGAGGCAACAACACAAAGCAGCGGGAUAAACACAUCUGGACCUGCUGCCGAAAAAGCAUUUGCUUUUAACAGCAGCAUCCCUCCCUCGUGAACACAUCUUCAAGGUCCGGACAGGCGAUCAGUAAAACGUUGUCUUAGUCACAGCACAGUGCAAUAAUAAAACAUUUCCUAAAACAUAUAGUUGUCCAGUCUGUAUCAUUCCUAAGCAAUCUUCCAGUUAUAGAGGCGCAAUCCCAGUUACUAACACAUUUACUGUGUAG